GUGCUUGCUUCGGCAGCACAUGUACUAAGACUGGAACGAUACAGAGAAGAUUAGCAUGGCCCCUGAGCAAGGAUGACACGCAAUUUGGGAAAGCGUUCCAUAUUUUU
ensembl:snRNA U6 U6 spliceosomal RNA